rnacentral:rRNA from 1 species
UACGUAGGGGGCUAGCGUUGUCCGGAAUCAUUGGGCGUAAAGCGCGUGUAGGCGGUCCGGUAAGUCCGCUGUGAAAGUCGAGGGCUCAACCCUCGAAUGCCGGUGGAUACUGUCGGGCUAGAGUAUGGAAGAGGCGAGUGGAAUUCCUGGUGUAGCGGUGAAAUGCGCAGAUAUCAGGAGGAACACCAAUUGCGAAGGCAGCUCGCUGGGACGUUACUGACGCUGAGACGCGAAAGCGUGGGGAGCAAACAGG